UCUACUGACUGAGCCAGCCAGCCGCCCCUCUACAGGAAAAGAAGAUGGUAAUGAGCCCAGUAGAAGUAACAAGCCCUGUGAUGGGUAAAGCUCCACACAACUCUCAGGGGCCUUUGAUAACCUGCAUCGAGUAUUUCCAUCAAGCGCUACAGGCUGCUGAGAAGACUGUACAUCCUGACAGUAAUAACGGCCACCAUUCAAUGGACACAGAGCUAAGCACUGCCUGCUGUUUGUCCUCCUUAUUUAAUCCUCACAACCCACUGAAGGCAUGCUGUUCUCCCAGUUUUAUAAGAAACUGAGGCUCAGAGGGGUUAAACCAUCUGUCCAAGGUCA